rnacentral:lncRNA from 1 species
CCAGUCCUAUUCCCAGAGGUAGCUUCUCCAAGGUGGCUCCUGACAUAGGAAAUGGAUCCUUUGGAAUCAGCUGCUGACAUGCUGGAGAUGAUGGAGCACCUAAGAGACUGAUA